GAGUCCAGCAGAAAUAGCAUAAAUAAUUAUCUAAACAUAAGAACCAUAAAUAAAAUAGCAUGCAAUAAUAUCAGACAGUAACUAACAUAAAUAACUAACAUCAGGGAGACACAAUCAAAUACACAAAUCCUCUAUGGAUAGCCCUGCCAAGCCUCACCCAAGCCCGGGUGAGGAGUACGAAAAACUCUAGGGGCCCCUAUCCUACAACUCUGAUACUAGACCUCCAGAUUUUCCUAUCAAGGGCCAUGUCCUCGGAAACCCGCAUUCUAGCCAUGUCAUGCCUAAUCACCUCUCCCCAAUACCUCUUAGGCCUCCCUCUGCCUCGCCGUGCGCCGACCAUCUCCAGCCACUCACAACUCCUCAUCGGGGCAUCAAGACUUCUCCUCCGUACAUUCCCGAAUCACCUCAGCCUUGCUUCUCGCAUCUUCUCAUCAACCGGGGCCACCCCUACCUUCUCUCGAAUAACUUCAUUCUUAAUCUUAUCUAACCUGGUGAGCCCGCACAUCCACCUGAGCAUCCUCAUCUCCGCAACCUUCAUCCUCUGAACAUGAGAGUUCUUCACUGGCCAGCACUCCGCCCCAUACAACAUAGCCAGUCUAACCACUGCUCCAUAAAAUUUCCCCUUGAGUUUCUGUGGAACUUUCUUGUCACACAGGACUCCUGAUGCAAGCCUCCACUUUUACCACCCUGAUCCUAUACGAUGAGUGACGUCCUCGUCAAUCUCUCCGUCCCCCCUGAAUCACCGACCCAAGAUAUCUGACACUGUCCCUCUUGGUGAUGACUUGAGAUCCAAUCAUCACGUCCCUUCCAACUUCGCUCGGCUCGGCACUAAACAUGCACUCCAGGUAUUCUGUCUUAGAUCUGCUUAUUUUGAAACCUUUAGACUCGAGAGCCUAUCUCCAUACCUCUAACCUCUCAUUAACACCGACCCUCGUCUCGUCUAUCAAGACUAUGUCAUCAGAAAUAGCAUACACCAAGGCACAUCCCCUUGAAUAUGUCGUGUAAGAGCAUCCAUCACCAAGGCAAACAAG
rnacentral:lncRNA from 1 species